rnacentral:rRNA from 1 species
GACGAACGCUGGCGGCGUGCUUAACACAUGCCAGUCGAACGGAAAGGCCCUGCUUUUGUGGGGUGCUCGAGUGGCGAACGGGUGAGUAACACGUGAGUAACCUGCCCUUGACUUUGGGAUAACUUCAGGAAACUGGGGCUAAUACCGGAUAGGAGCUCCUGCUGCAUGGUGGGGGUUGGAAAGUUUCGGCGGUUGGGGAUGGACUCGCGGCUUAUCAGCUUGUUGGUGGGGUAGUGGCUUACCAAGGCUUUGACGGGUAGCCGGCCUGAGAGGGUGACCGGCCACAUUGGGACUGAGAUACGGCCCAGACUCCUACGGGAGGCAGCAGUGGGGAAUAUUGCACAAUGGGCGGAAGCCGGAUGCAGCAACGCCGCGUGCGGGAUGACGGCCUUCGGGUUGUAAACCGCUUUCGCCUGUGACGAAGCGUGAGUGACGGUAAUGGGGAAAGAAGCACCGGCUAACUACGU